rnacentral:rRNA from 1 species
AAUGAACGUUGGCGGCGUGGAUUAGGCAUGCAAGUCGAGCGAGAAGCUCCCCUUCGGGGGAGUGGACAGCGGCGAAAGGGAGAGUAACGUGUGGGUUACCAACCCCUGAGCACGGGAUAGCUGCGGGAAACUGCAGGUAAUACCGUAUAACAUCUCAGGAUCAAAGCUUCGGCGCUUGGGGACGGGCCCGCAUACUAUUAGCUUGUUGGUGGGGUAAUGGCCUACCAAGGCUAAGAUGGUUACCGGGUGUGAGAGCAUGGCCCGGCUCACUGGGACUGAGACACUGCCCAGACACCUCCGGGUGGCUGCAGUCGAGAAUCUUCGGCAAUGGACGAAAGUCUGACCGAGCGACGCCGCGUGCGGGAUGAAGGCCUUCGGGUUGUAAACCGCUGUCAGAGGGAAGGAAAAUUUGACCGAUCCUCAAAGGAAGUACGGGCUAAGUUCGUG